rnacentral:rRNA from 1 species
GACGAACGCUGGCGGCGUGCUUUACACAUGCAAGUCGAACGGUGAAGGUGGAGCUUGCUCCGCCGGAUCAGUGGCGAACGGGUGAGUAACACGUGGGCAGCCUGCCCCUAACUUUGGGAUAACUACUCGAAAGAGUAGCUAAUACCGGAUAUGAAGUCUGUAGGCAUCUAUGGAUUUGGAAAGUUUUUCGGUUAGGGAUGGGCCCGCGGCCUAUCAGCUUGUUGGUGAGGUAGUGGCUCACCAAGGCGACGACGGGUAGCCGGCCUGAGAGGGCGACCGGCCACACUGGGACUGAGACACGGCCCAGACUCCUACGGGAGGCAGCAGUGGGGAAUAUUGCGCAAUGGGCGAAAGCCUGACGCAGCAACGCCGCGUGCGGGAUGAAGGCCUUCGGGUUGUAAACCGCUUUCAGCAGGGAAGAAGCGAAAGUGACGGUACCUGCAGAAGAAGCACCGGCUAACUACGUGCCAGCAGCCGCCGCGG